rnacentral:rRNA from 1 species
CGGUAAUACCAGCUCUCCGAGUGGUAGGGACGAUUAUUGGGCUUAAAGCGUCCGUAGCCGGCCCGGCAAGUCUCCCGUUAAAUCCAGCGACCUAAUCGUUGGGCUGCAGGAGAUACUGUUGGGCUAGGAGGCGGGAGAGGCCGACGGUAUUCCCGGGGUAGGGGUGAAAUCCUAUAAUCCCGGGAGGACCACCAGUGGCGAAGGCUGUCGGCUAGAACGCGCUCGACGGUGAGGGACGAAAGCUGGGGGAGCGAACCGGAUUAGAUACCCGGGUAGUCCCAGCUGUAAACGAUGCGGGCUAGGUGUUGGGGUGGCUACGAGCCACUUCAGUGCCGCAGGGAAGCCAUUAAGCCCGCCGCCUGGGGAGUACGGCCGCAAGGCUGAAACUUAAAGGAAUUGGCGG